rnacentral:ncRNA from 2 species
AUACCGUGUCCGUCCGCCGGUGCCCCACGGGGCCGAACAGGGAACGCAGAGCGCACCGCACCGCACCGCGCCGCUGCGGCUGCCCCCGCAACUGUGAGCAGCGAGUCCGCAUCCGAUUGACGCCACCGGCAGCGCCGCGCGUUGCGGCCACCGGGAAGGCCACACUGUGGAUGACGACCUGCCAGCCAGGAGACCUGCCGGUGACGUUUCGUUCGU